GUGCUUAUUUCAGAAGCAUAAAUACUAAAAUGAGAACAUCACAGAAAUGAGCAUGGCCUCUGCUAGCAUGGCAUGAAGAUUUUUGAAGUGAUAUAUAUUUUU
ensembl:snRNA U6 U6 spliceosomal RNA